rnacentral:sRNA from 1 species
CACCGCAGCCCAUUACGGGCGUUUCCUCCCUGGACUUGGGCCGUUCGCUCGCACGAACGGCCUCUUUUUGACAGGGA